rnacentral:tRNA from 1 species
UUUAGGGUAAGCUAUUCUUAAGCUGUUAGGUUCAUAACCUGAAGAAGAUUUAAACAUCCUCUGAAA